rnacentral:rRNA from 1 species
GACGAACGCUGGCGGCGUGCUUAACACAUGCCAGUCGAACGGACAGGCCCUGCUUUUGUUGGGUGCUCGAGUGGCGAACGGGUGAGUAACACGUGAGUAAACUCCCCUUGUCUUUGGGAUAACUUCAGGAAACUGGGGCUAAUACCGGAUAGGAGCUCCUGCUGCAUGGUGGGGGUUGGAAAGUUUCGGCGGUUGGGGAUGGACUGGCGGCUUAUCCGCUUCUUGGGGAGGUAGUUGAUUACGAAGUGUUUGACGGGUAGGCGGCAUGAGAGGGUGACCGGGGACCAUGCGCCUGCGAUAGGGCCCAGAAGGCUACGGGAGGCAGCAGGGGGGAAUCUUGCAGAACAGGGGGGAGCCUGAGGUGGCGGCGCCGGGUGCGUGAUGACCUGUUUCGGGUUGUAAACCGAUUUGGAAUGUGACGAAGAGUGAGUGACGGUAAUGGGUAAAGAAGCACCGGCUAACUACGUG